rnacentral:tRNA from 1 species
AGAAAAGUAAGCUAAAAUAAGCUAAUGGGUUCAUACCCCAUUUAUGGAGUUUAAAUACUCUCUUCUCUA